CACCUUGGAUGUGAGGAGGUUGGAGAUAUAGUCUGCUUUGGUCUCAUGUUUUUAUUCUGCCCAUGUUUUCAUUCUGCCCAUGUUUUCAUUAUAUGAAUAUUUCAUCCCAAGUCUGGCCUCACUUGGAUUACAAAAUUACACGAUUUUACUGAAGCUGCUAUAUCCAAUACCAAUGGCAGCUUCUUCUUCCCAUUUCAAGCUUAUCAUGUCCCAGAUCUGGGACUCAACUGCUCACUUGGUGCCGUGUGGCAGCUGUCUCUCAGGCAGCUAUGUAGCACGUGGGGACACCUCUCCAGGCCCCUCUCACUGAUGGUGAUAUAUCCAUUUGUCUCCUGUGCUGCCAAAGAAGGCUGCCUUUGGAGAUCUUCUUAAUGAUGUCUGUGCGCAUCUCCAGGUCUUGGGUGCAGGACUAACCUAAGCUAACCACUGAUCCAGAUGCUCUUGGAAUCAGCUGGGAGUUUAUACAUCAGUUCCUUGCUGACAUGCUGUCACACGCAAAUUGUGAUUUAUGAUGCUAAUACUCUCUCAACACUUUUCUAAUUUUUUAAUAAAGAUACUUCUGUGAAGUAUUCCACUUCAAGCCCAGCCCGGACUUAUUCAUAUGUUUAAGUUAUAAACAGAGUAAUUGGUGGAGCAACAACUUCAUUAAGUUUAACAGUUUAAUAGACUGGCAUGGCUGAGAAAGAAAACCUUCCUUCUCUGGAGCUAUCCCCAGGUGGGGAGUCAGGAAGGCAGAACACCACAUUAGUAAUCGUUCCACUGAUGUUUUCUCACUACACCAACAUUAUAUUGGUAAGGAAAUUGCAUGCUUCACUCUUUGACAUAGUUAUGGUGAUAAAUUGGGUAUACAGAAGAACUAAUGAUGAAAUUAAAUGGACUUAUGAAUAUACAUAAGAUCUCUUUCCCAAGGUCAGUUCUGGAUGACACAGCAAAGAUACUACAACAACAGGUAAGAUGUGGGCUCAGUCAGUUGUGGGCAGCAUGUUGCUGAAGGCUGGAUGCAAAUGUUUGCUCAGGGGUACAAAGAGAUGGAGGAAGAGAUGAACAUACAAGACCAUGAUAUGCCCCUCUGCUCUUGAAGGAGCCCUGUUCUUAAUAGGAAAUUUGACCUGUUGCCACCUUGAUGCUAAAGAAACCCCUGCACCCCUCACAUAACGUGCUUUGUUAGAAGGCCAUGCAGGACUUGAGAGCUGAGCUCUGGGUGCUGCAGAGACACGUUCUGU